CUAACAAGGAUUCCCCUAGUAACGGCGAGUGAAGCGGGAACGGCUCAAAUUUGUAAUCUGGCGGUCCACGGCCGUCCGAGUUGUAAUCUGGAGAAGCGUUUUCAGCGCCGGCCCGCGUACAAGUCCCCUGGAACGGGGCGUCGCAGAGGGUGAGAAUCCCGUCUCUGACGCGGUUCGUGCCGGCGCGUUGCGAUGCGCUCUCGAAGAGUCGAGUUGUUUGGGAAUGCAGCUCAAAACGGGUGGUAAAUUCCAUCUAAAGCUAAAUACUGGCGAAAGACCGAUAGCGAACAAGUACCGUGAGGGAAAGAUGAAAAGCACUUUGGAAAGAGAGUCAAACAGUACGUGAAAUUGUUGAAAGGGAAACGCUUGAAGUCAGUCGCGUCUCCCGGGACUCAGUCGCGCCCUCGGGCGCGGUGUACUUCCCGGGUCUGGACGGGCCAGCGUCGAUUUCGACCGUCGUACAAAGGCGCGAGGAACGUGGCACCUUCGGGUGUGUUAUAGCCUCGCGUUUUCCGUAUGCGACGGUGGGGAUCGAGGAUCGCAGCGCGCCUCCNACGGUCGGGGUUCGCCCACGUAACGCGCUUGGGACGCUGGCUUAAUGGCUUUAAGCGACCCGUCU
rnacentral:rRNA from 1 species